rnacentral:rRNA from 1 species
AGUUGGUGGAGUGAUUUGUCUGGUUAAUUCCGAUAACGAACGAGACCUUAACCUGCUAAAUAGGAUCUAGAACCAUUGGUUUUAGAAUCACUUCUUAGAGGGACUUUGUGUGUCUAACGCAAGGAAGCUUGAGGCAAUAACAGGUCU